rnacentral:rRNA from 1 species
GAGCUCAGAUUUGAAAUCGUGCUUUGCGGCACGAGUUGUAGAUUGCAGGUUGGAGUCUGUGUGGAAGGCGGUGUCCAAGUCCCUUGGAACAGGGCGCCCAGGAGGGUGAGAGCCCCGUGGGAUGCCGGCGGAAGCAGUGAGGCCCUUCUGACGAGUCGAGUUGUUUGGGAAUGCAGCUCCAAGCGGGUGGUAAAUUCCAUCUAAGGCUAAAUACUGGCGAGAGACCGAUAGCGAACAAGUACUGUGAAGGAAAGAUGAAAAGCACUUUGAAAAGAGAGUGAAACAGCACGUGAAAUUGUUGAAAGGGAAGGGUAUUGCGCCCGACAUGGGGAUUGCGCACCGCUGCCUCUCGUGGGCGGCGCUCUGGGCUUUCCCUGGGCCAGCAUCGGUUCUUGCUGCAGGAGAAGGGGUUCUGGAACGUGGCUCUUCGGAGUGUUAUAGCCAGGGCCAGAUGCUGCGUGCGGGGACCGAGGACUGCGGCCGUGUAGGUCACGGAUGCUGG